GGUUGUGGCUCAGUGAUACAGCGCUUGCCUAACAUGCAUGAGGCACUGGGUUCAAUCCCUGGCACCA
rnacentral:tRNA from 1 species